UACCAGCACCCCGAGUGGUCGGGACGAUUAUUGGGCCUAAAGCAUCCGUAGCCGGCCUUACAAGUCCUCCGUUAAAUCCAGCUGCUUAACAGAUGGGCUGCGGAGGAUACUAUAAGACUAGGAGGCAGGAGAGGCAAGCGGUACUCAGUGGGUAGGGGUAAAAUCCGUUGAUCCAUUGAAGACCACCAGUGGCGAAGGCGGCUUGCCAGAAUGCGCUCGACGAUGAGGGAUGAAAGCUGGGGGAGCAAACCGG
rnacentral:rRNA from 1 species